rnacentral:rRNA from 1 species
CACGUAGGGGGCAAGCGUUAUCCGGAUUUACUGGGCGUAAAGCGCGCGCAGGCGGCGGGCUAAGUCUGCUGCGAAAGCCCCGGGCUCAACCCGGGCGGGACGGCGGAGACUGGUCUGCUCGAGGGCGGCAGAGGCAGGUGGAAUUCCGGGUGGAGCGGUGAAAUGCGUAGAGAUCCGGAGGAACACCGGUGGCGAAGGCGGCCUGCUGGGCCGAGCCCUGACGCUGAGGCCGCGAAAGCGUGGGGAGCGAACCGG